rnacentral:rRNA from 1 species
CUGCCCUGGACUCUGGGAUAACCCCGAGAAAUCGGAGCUAAUACCGGAUAGGACCUUUCCCCGCAUGGGGUUUGGUGGAAAGUUUUUCGGUCUGGGAUGGACUCGCGGCCUAUCAGCUUGUUGGUGAGGUAAUGGCUCACCAAGGCGUCGACGGGUAGCCGGCCUGAGAGGGUGACCGGCCACACUGGGACUGAGACACGGCCCAGACUCCUACGGGAGGCAGCAGUGGGGAAUAUUGCACAAUGGGCGCAAGCCUGAUGCAGCAACGCCGCGUGCGGGAUGACGGCCUUCGGGUUGUAAACCGCUUUUAGUAGGGAAGAAGGGCUUCGGCUUGACGGUACCUGCAGAAAAAGGACCGGCUAACUACGUGCCAGCAGCCGCGGUAAUACGUAGGGUCCGAGCGUUGUCCGGAAUUAUUGGGCGUAAAGAGCUCGUAGGCGGUUUGUCGCGUCUGCUGUGAAAACUGGAGGCUCAACCUCCAGCCUGCAGUGGGUACGGGCAGACUUGAGUGGUGUAGGGGAGACUGGAAUUCCUGGUGUAGCGGUGGAAUGCGCAGAUAUCAGGAGGAACACCGAUGGCGAAGGCAGGUCUCUGGGCACUUACUGACGCUGAGGAGCGAAAGCGUGGGGAGCGAACAGGAUUAGAUACCCUGGUAGUCCACGCCGUAAACGUUGGGCGCUAGAUGUGGGGACCUUUCCACGGUUUCCGUGUCGUAGCUAACGCAUUAAGCGCCCCCGCCUGGGGAGUACGGCCGCAAGGCUAAAACUCAAAGGAAUUGACGGGGGGCCCGCACAAGCGGGCGGAGCAUGCCGGAUUAAUUCCGAUGCAACGCCGAAGAACCUUUACCAAGGGCUUGGACAUAUAACCAAGAACCGGGCCCAGAAAAUGGGUCAACUUCUUUUGGACACUCCGUA